rnacentral:rRNA from 1 species
UGGCGAACGGGUGAGUAACACGUGGGUGAUCUGCCCUGCACUUCGGGAUAAGCCUGGGAAACUGGGUCUAAUACCUGAUAGGAGCCAUUUUUAGUGUGAUGGUUGGAAAGUUUUUUCGGUGUAGGAUGAGCUCGCGGCCUAUCAGCUUGUUGGUGGGGUAAUGGCCUACCAAGGCGGCGACGGGUAGCCGGCCUGAGAGGGUGGACGGCCACAUUGGGACUGAGAUACGGCCCAG